CUCUCUCUCUCUCUCUCUCUCUCUCAGAGACAGAUAUAACAAAGGCCACAAGAAUUUGUUUUGUGUUUCUGUUGUGAGGUGUAAGUCAUGUGUUGCAUGUGAAGAGCACCUAAAGUCUAAAACACCAAAUCACCCCAGAUCUAUUACUUGGCUUAUUAUGCACCUUGUUUCACGGAUUAAUAUAUAUAUGUCAUGUGUUUAACUUUUUUUUCCCUCUUUUAAUUCUUUGGUUACCUUAAAAGGAAAAAAAGAAAAAAAGAAAUGUAGAAAGAUAGUAAUUAGCGGAAUAUAAAAUGAAGUAUCUACCAAAAAAAAAAAAAAAAGGCACGAAGAAAGACAGUAAAUGAUGGAAUAUAAAAUGAAGCAUCUAUAACAAGAAAGAGGAAUUUAACAACAAAGAUAAACAUGAAGAGAAAAAACAACAUUUAUUUCUGUUUUUAUUGCGUCUUAAUUAAAUUACAAAUAUAUGGUAACUGGUAAUUUUUCAAAUAAGUUAUUAAUAGGUUGCCUAGUUUUAUAUAUGAUUUCAAACUCACAAGCAGGUGGAUUUACUCUCUUUCUCUGUGUGUAUAUAUAGAUUCUGAUCUCUGUCUCUGUCUCUGUCUUUCACUCUGUAACUCAGCCAAAACUAAACAUGGGUUUUGUAACUCAGAGAUUGUGUUCCAUCCUUGUGACCUUCUUGGUGAUUUUUUCACGUCUCUGUGUAGCAAACUCAGAACAAUAUCAUAGCAACCAUGUGAAGUCGAGGAAACAAUUACAAGAAAAAACCUGUAAUGUUUAUGAAGGGACUUGGGUGUUUGACAAUUCAUACCCUCUAUACAACUCUUCAGCUUGCCCUCAUAUCCGCAAGGAAUUUGAUUGCCAAAAGUAUGGUCGACCUGAUAGUCUCUACCUCAAAUAUAGAUGGCAGCCCAAGGAAUGUGACAUACCCAGAUUCCCACAGAAGUAAUGAGCCUAGGCGGAUUGCUAUAUUUGAAUUUGUCAAGAAAUCAUCUGGUCGGACCUAUCCCACCAAGCAUCGGUGAAAUGGAAAAUUUAGAAGUUCUUGAUUUAUCAAGGAACCACCUUUCAUGCACUAUGCCCACUGCCAUGAUAGAUAUUCCCUUCCUCAUGGAUUUCAACGUGUCAUAUAACAACUUGUCAGGGGAAAUUUUACAUACCGGCCAGUUUAGUACAUUUCCAGACUCAAGCUAUAUAGGGAAUCAUCAACUCUGUGGGCCUCCACUUUCAAAGAUAUGCUCAAGCAAUGAAUCAUUCGGAGAUCCACAUUGUAGCAUUGAAGAAGGAGAUGAAGAAAAGCAAGGCAUUCAAAAAGAAGAGCAGUAUGGCUUUGAAAUAACUUCAUUUUAUUUAAGCAUGGGACUUGGAUUUAUUGCAGGGUAUUGUGGAUUUUGGUGCUCUUUACUGAUGAAUAGAUCUUGGAGGUGCACUUAUUUCCGCUUCUUGGGCAACAUGAAUGACAAAAUUUCUGGGAUGGUACAAGGUAGCAGUUGGAGUAGCCAAAUUGCAAAGGAAGUUUCAACACCAACAAACUCCCAAGUAAAGGGUCGUCAAUAUAAUUCUGUUCAAUACUCGCUUUUGCGAGUACCUUCUUUAUGUCUCUUUAAGUAUUAAAAGUGUCACCUUCUCAAAAAAAAAAAAAAAAGGUAUUAAAAGUGUCUUCUUUAUGUCUUUUGUCGAAUAAACUGUAAUAUCUUGGAUUCCUGGAAUAUGCUUCCAGUGCUUGCAUUGUCAUAACUUCUACUGUCAAAUGAAGGUUAUUUUAAAUUCAAAUUAGAA